rnacentral:rRNA from 1 species
CUGCCAAGGGCAUGGCUGGGUAGCUAUGUACGGAAUGGAUAAGCGCUGAAAGCAUCUAAGCGCGAAGCCAACUUCAAGAUAAGAUUUCCCACCGCAAGGGUAAGACUCCAGAAAGACUAUCUGGUUGAUAGGUCGAAGGUGUAAGUGCAGCAAUGUAUUUAGCUUAUCGAUACUAAUAGGUCGAGGACUUGACCAA